rnacentral:rRNA from 1 species
GGCAAAAGCUCAAAUUGAAAUCUAGCACCUUCGGUGUUCGAGUUGUAAUUUGAAGAUGGUAACCUUGGGUUUGGCUCUUGUCUAUGUUCCUUGGAACAGGACGUCAUAGAGGGUGAGAAUCCCGUCUGAUGAGAUGCCCAUUCCUAUGUAAGGUGCUAUCGAAGAGUCGAGUUGUUUGGGAAUGCAGCUCUAAGUGGGUGGUAAAUUCCAUCUAAAGCUAAAUAUUGGCGAGAGACCGAUAGCGAACAAGUACAGUGAUGGAAAGAUGAAAAGAACUUUGAAAAGAGAGUGAAAAAGUACGUGAAAUUGUUGAAAGGGAAGGGCAUUAGAUCAGACUUGGUGUUUUACGAUUAUCUUCUCUUCUUGAGUUGUGCACUCGUAUUUCACUGGGCCAGCAUCGAUUCGGAUGGCAAGAUAAUGGCAGUUGAAUGUGGCUUCACUUCGGUGGAGUGUUAUAGCUUCUGCUGAUAUUGCCUGUCUGGAUCGAGGGCUGCGUCUUUUGACUAGGAUGCUGGCGUAAUGAUCUAAUGCCGCCCGUCUUGAAACACGGACCAAGGAGUCUAACGUCUAUGCGAGUGUUUGGGUGUAAAACCCGUACGCGUAAUGAAAGUGAACGUAGGUGAGAGCUCUUUUGAGUGCAUCAUCGACCGAUCCUGAUGUUUUCGGAUGGAUUUGAGUAAGAGCAUACUGUUGGACCCGAAAG